UAGUUCAAAUUUCACUACGUGCUGUCUUGUGCUGGGAAGGUUUGACCGGAGUGAAAUGGACAGGUUUAUCGCAAUUUUGGUACUGAUACCAGCUGAACGGACAACAACAAAAAUUCUUCAGUGCUUGCUGCCGUGCGGCAAUAACAACCAUCGUAUUGGAAAUUGAAAAGCUGCAGUACACGGUAACAUGCAACCCAGGGGUGGGAAUGGGCGCGGCUGUUUUAAUUAAAGCAUCGAGAGACAAUUUAUAGAAUCGUGAGAGAAGUAACGCAAAGUACCAGUGCCGCCGAAACGUGGUCAUACAACUCGGUAACCUACUUCCAAGGGUUUGGGAUGGGGGCGCAUAGUCAACACGCUACCGACACACGUACACCCUCUGGAAUAACAAGUGCACGGUGGUUGCUUCGUGGAAGAGAAGUGGGAAACAUAAAAAUCAAAGCAAUGGGCAGCAAUGGAAAAGAGUCGGAAAGGAACAAGCGCUUGUAGAUAGUAUUUCUAUCAAAUGAAAAUCUGUCCCCAGACAGUGUCCCGCCACACACUUACCAUUCACCGUCCCUCAGGGAAGACAGGAGAGUGUUUGGCGUACAAGGUGAGAGAAUGCAAAAAUUAAAAAAGAGGGCGAAAAAAGACGCGGAAGAAAACUCAAGGCAAAAUUAAAUCAACACUUUACGAUCCCCGGGCCACGGCGGUUGUCAUCGAGCGUCGCGCUCGUAAUGUUGCCGGGCGUCACGAGUUGCAAAACGGAAAACGUGCUGGAAGUAUAAAUCUUUAUUGCAAUCACAACGACCCCACCGGGGACGGCCGGACACCUGGGUGAUACCGAGAUACAGGUCCUUCUGGUGGACAGGUGAAAGAUGAGACAGAGGGAACGUGUAUCGCUCGAGCGUCGCUCGUACCGGUGGAAGCUUGCAAGUCAUCGUUCGUUCAUCCAUUUGAAGGAGGAGCACCAUAUAAAUUUGUAUCCGAUUUUGCGUUUACUGAUUUAAUUUCUCGUAACCCCA